rnacentral:tRNA from 1 species
GCCCUCGUAGCUCAGGAGGAUAGAGCACUAAUCUGGGUGCCGCGUGUUCGAGUCACGCCGGGGGCACCA